rnacentral:lncRNA from 1 species
ACCCUCUUAGCAAUUGAGUUCACACAACUUGAAAUUCGAAGUGACAGUAUUAUUGCGUAAAAUUUCUCAAAAUUUGAAGCAGGCAGAAAUGGCAGAUGAAGGAACGGUAACCUGCAUAGACAUUCUUGUGGCCAUUCUUUUGCCUCCUCUUGGUGUCUUCCUUAAAUUUGGCUGCCAGGUACAUACUUCUUUUUUAUUUUUUUUUUAAUUUAAAUAAAUUAUAUUCUUAACUAGAAAGAAUAAUUUGUCCGUUAAUUAAUGUUAUUUUUAUGCUUUAAUAUACAAUUGCAUUGCAAAGACCCGUAUAAUUGUUGAAGAAAUAAAUAAUUGAAAUUUUCACAGGUUGAAUUCUGGAUAUGUUUGCUGCUCACCAUCUUCGGUUACCUCCCUGGAAUCAUUUAUGCUGUCUAUGCCAUCACCAAAAACUGAUCCUCGGUAAAGUUUCCAUUACCUAAUUAUCAGUUUAGUCUUAAAAAUCUUAAUCUCCAUAAUUAUUUCAAAAAUAAUUUCAUUAGUCUAAUUUUCCCUGAUAUUUUUGACAGGUGAAGAGAUGUGAAGGGUGAUAAAGAAUUUUUUUUUUCUUUUCUUUUUUCCUGGAAAAUGUUGACAGUUUGGUGUUUCUAAAUGUCGUGUAUGGUUGAUUUAUAUUUUUAUCAUAUGUAUUCAUUUGUUGUAUUCUAAAUGUCUUGUGUAGGG